ACCAUAACCGCUGUAUAAAUAUUUUUGCUUUUAUAACACAUGGGGCGAUCCAACCCAAAGGAUCGAAAAGUCGUGCGACGUCUGAUACAAUCUUCCUUUUUGUUACAGGAGCAGAUACAGGAGGCAGCGUGACUGAGUACUGAAACUCAUCCUUCGUUUUAUUCCAGGACGCGUCGAAGACCACCCGGACCUUGCUAGUUGACUUGUCCUCCCUGAUGACAGCGUGGUGGGGUAAAUACACGCACUGUUUUUCACUUUCUCUAGCCGCAGGAACUAACAUCAUGUGGUCCAACUGCUGGAUUCUCAUCACGAAAUGGUAAUUUAACCACAUAUCUGCCAAGGUUGUCCCGUGUAGUCGUUGCUGAAAAGAUGUCUUCACAUCGCUGCUCUUCGGUCGUCAACAUCUUUUUUGAGGUUAAUAAA